rnacentral:rRNA from 1 species
GACGAACGCUGGCGGCGCGCCUAAUGCAUGCAAGUCGAGCGACGCAUGCUCGGUGGGUAACCACUGGGUAUGACGGAGCGGCGAACGGGUGAGUAACACGUGAGUAACCUGCCCCGAAGAUCGGGAUAGCCCGGGGAAACCCGGAUUAAUACCGAAUACCCUCUCUGGAUCGCAUGGUCCGGUGAGGAAAUGCCUUUGUGCUUCGGGAUGGACUCGCGGCCUAUCAGCUAGUUGGUGAGGUAACGGCUCACCAAGGCAACGACGGGUAGCUGGUCUGAGAGGACGAUCAGCCACACUGGGACUGAGACACGGCCCAGACUCCUACGGGAGGCAGCAGCAGGGAAUCUUGUCCAAUGGGCGCAAGCCUGAGACAGCGACGCCGCGUGAGGGAUGAAGGCCUUCGGGUUGUAAACCUCUUUCAGGAGGGACGAAAUUGACGGUACCUCCAGAAGAAGCCCCGGCCAACUACGUG